AAGGCCCGUGAAGACACGAAUUACCGUCUGAUAACUAAUGACGCUACCAUGGCUGUAAACCAGAGGCCGA
ensembl:snoRNA C16D9.11 ncRNA